GAUGAACGCUGACAGAAUGCUUAACCCAUGCAAGUCAACUGUGGCGGACGGGUGAGUAACGCGUAAAGACCUUGCCUCCCAGUUAGGCACAACAUUUGGAAACGAAUGCUAAUACCUGAUACUUUGCGAGUGCUUUGCGUCCCAUUAGCUAGUUGGCGAGGUAACGGCUCACCAAGGCGAUGAGGGGUAGCCGGCCUGAGAGGGUGAUCGGCCACAAGGGGACUGAGACACUGGCCUUAGUCCAGCGGGAGGAAGCAGUGGGGAAUAUUGGACAAGGGACCAAAGUCUGAUCCAGCAAUUCGGGGUGCACGAUGAAGUUUUCGGAAUGUAAAGUGCUUGCAGUUGGGAAGCGGUACCAACAGAAGAAGUGACGGCUAAAUACGUGCCAGCAGCCGCGGUAAUUC
rnacentral:rRNA from 1 species